rnacentral:rRNA from 1 species
CGAACCGUGCGAACGUUGUUCGGAUUCGCUGGGCUUAAAGGGCGCGUAGGCGGCUGGCCACGUCAGGGGUGAAAUCUUUCGGCUCAACCGGAAACGUGCCCCUGAUACUGGCCGGCUUGAGGAGGGUAGGGGCGGAUGGAACUUCCGGUGGAGCGGUGAAAUGCGUAGAUAUCGGAAGGAACGCCGGUGGCGAAAGCGAUCCGCUGGACCCUUUCUGACGCUGAGGCGCGAAAGCCAGGGGAGCGAACGGG